AUUGAACGCUGGCGGCAGGCCUAACACAUGCAAGUCGAGCGGAUGAAGGGAGCUUGCUUCUGGAUUCAGCGGCGGACGGGUGAGUAAUGCCUAGGAAUCUGCCUGGUAGUGGGGGACAACGUUUCGAAAGGAACGCUAAUACCGCAUACGUCCUACGGGAGAAAGCAGGGGACCUUCGGGCCUUGCGCUAUCAGAUGAGCCUAGGUCGGAUUAGCUAGUUGGUGAGGUAAUGGCUCACCAAGGCGACGAUCCGUAACUGGUCUGAGAGGAUGAUCAGUCACACUGGAACUGAGACACGGUCCAGACUCCUACGGGAGGCAGCAGUGGGGAAUAUUGGACAAUGGGCGAAAGCCUGAUCCAGCCAUGCCGCGUGUGUGAAGAAGGUCUUCGGAUUGUAAAGCACUUUAAGUUGGGAGGAAGGGUUGUAGAUUAAUACUCCGCAAUUUUGACGUUACCGACAGAAUAAGCACCGGCUAACUCUGUGCCAGCCGCCGCCGUAACAC
rnacentral:rRNA from 1 species